rnacentral:rRNA from 1 species
CCCUUAGAUGUUCUGGGCCGCACGCGCGCUACACUGACGGAUUCAACGAGCUUAUAACCUUGGCCGAAAGGUCUGGGUAAUCUCCAAAAUCCGUCGUGAUGGGGAUAGAUUAUUGCAAUUAUUAAUCUUCAACGAGGAAUGCCUAGUAAGCGUAAGUCAUCAGCUUGCGUUGAUUACGUCCCUGCCCUUUGUACACACCGCCCGUCGCUCCUACCGAUUGAAUGGUCCGGUGAAGCGUUUGGACUAUGGUUUUCUGAUGGUCCGCCGUUGGAUUACCGUGGGAAGUUCGUUAAACCUUAUCAUUUAGAGGAAGGAGAAGUCGUAACA